ACGGCGGACGGGUGAGUAACGCGUAGGCAACCUGCCCUUUGCAGAGGGAUAGCCUCGGGAAACCGGGAUUAAAACCUCAUGACACCUCUUAAAGACAUCUUUGAGAGGUCAAAGAUUUAUCGGCAGAGGAUGGGCCUGCGUCUGAUUAGCUAGUUGGUGGGGUAACGGCCUACCAAGGCGACGAUCAGUAGCCGACCUGAGAGGGUGAUCGGCCACAUUGGAACUGGGACGCGGUCCAA
rnacentral:rRNA from 1 species